rnacentral:rRNA from 1 species
GGCGAGAGACCGAUAGCGAACAAGUACCGUGAGGGAAAGAUGAAAAGAACUUUGAAAAGAGAGUCAAACAGUACGUGAAAUUGUUGAAAGGGAAACGAUUGAAGCCAGUCGUACCGACGGGAAUUCAACUUUUUAAGCGCUUGUCGUGGGUGAUGUAGAGCCUCACGGCCUUCGUUGCUUUGCGUUAUGGUGCUUUUAGGGUGUACUUUUCCGUAUGGUAGGUCAAUAUCGAUUUUGGUCGUCAUAAAA